GGAACUGCUCUGGGGACCAGAGCUUGAGAUUUCUCUGCAAAGCAGAGCGUAAGCAAAAGUGAAGGUUUUAACUGUGGGCACCCACUCUCUGUCACUGAGCCUCAGCCCUGUCCUGCUGAGGCCAUCAGCUCCAGGUGGAAGAGCAAUUUGGUUUCCUCUCGACUUAAUCCUCUCCUGCC
rnacentral:sRNA from 1 species